rnacentral:rRNA from 1 species
UUUGGUGAGGAAUAACACGAGGAAACUUGUGCUAAUACCUCAUAAGUCUUUACAGAGAAAGCUUUAUGCGCCAUUGGAUGAGCCUGCAUUUGAUUAGUUUGUUGGUGGGGUAAUGGCCUACCAAGACUGUGAUCAAUAGCUGAUCUGAGAGGAUGAUCAGCCACAUUGGGACUGAGACACGGCCCAAACUCCUACGGGAGGCAGCAGUAGGGAAUCUUGCACAAUGGGGGAAACCCUGAUGCAGCGAUGCCGCGUGAGUGAAGAAGGCCUUUGGGUUGUAAAGCUCUUUCGUCGGGGAAGAAAAUGACUGUACCCGAAUAAGAAGGUCCGGCU